CGAUAGUCGUUUUUUUCUUCAUUUCCUCUUCCUGAGCGAUACAACUUCAGAUUGGUUUGAAAGACCAUCUUCCAUUCGCUUGAUCGCCCAACAAAAUUUUAGUUUGCGAGUUUUGCUGCUUAACUCAUACGUUUUAAUCAAAUUCACAACCUCUAUAAUCGAGAAAAUAUUUUCUCGGUUAGCUAUAAAAUUGGGAAAGGAGAGAAGCUUCAUUGAGUCAAAUCAAAUCGAAGUGUGUGUUGGGGUAGAUAAAUCCAAGAAUCGACGGAUUCAGUUUUGACCCAUCAGUACAAUAAACUGAGUAAUCAAUUCAAUUGGGUUGUACAUAUGGAAGCAUAUAUAUGAAGACAUUAUCUCUCUCAGUAAGAUAUAAAUUUGUAUUGUUUUAACAUGUUAGGUUGUUUUAUUUGGCAGAGGCAAAACUGAUUGCUUUACUUAUUUUGCUUAAAGGUUCAGGAUAUCAAAUGACAUAUACUUACAUGUAGAUCGGUUUAUUGCCACAGAGUACAUGUUUUUGUGGCAAAAAACAGAAAAGAGUGACAGCAGAAGCCAUUGGAGAAGGGUUGGAGAAGAUAGAAGGGAGAAGGUUAAAAGGGUUUGAUGAUUGAACUUUUGAUUACUAGCAUUGUAUUUAUAGGAGGCUUUCACGUAUCACGAUUUAGGUAUAAUUUGGUUGUAUAAGUUUGGGUAUAUUCUCAGAAUAAUUCAGUUAAGGUAUGUAAAUAUUUUCAGAAUAAUUCAGUUAAGGAUCGAUUUUUUUAAAAAAUCCAAUAAGGUAAUCUAGUACUAAUGUAUCAAAAGCAGGUUAGGAGAUUGAUAU